GACGAACGCUGGCGGCGUGCUUAACACAUGCAAGUCGAACGGAAAGGCCCUGCUUUUGUGGGGUGCUCGAGUGGCGAACGGGUGAGUAACACGUGAGUAACCUGCCCUUGACUUUGGGAUAACUUCAGGAAACUGGGGCUAAUACCUGAUAGGAGCUCCUGCUGCAUGGUGGGGGUUGGAAAUUUUCGGCGGUUGGGGAUGGACUCGCGGGUUAUCAGCUUGUUGGUGGGGUAGUGGCUUACCAAGGCUUUGACGGGUAGCCGGCCUGAGAGGGUGACCGGCCACAUUGGGACUGAGAUACGGACCAGACUCCUACGGGAGGCAGCAGUGGGGAAUAUUGCACAAUGGGCGGAAGCCUGAUGCAGCAACGCCGCGUGCGGGAUGACGGCCUUCGGGUUGUAAACCGCUUUCGCCUGUGACGAAGCGUGAGUGACGGUAAUGGGUAAAGAAGCACCGGCUAACUACGUG
rnacentral:rRNA from 1 species